UGACUCUUAGUUAUGAUUAAGCUUCCGGCAAUAUUAUAGCCGAAUUCUAGGGUUUUAUCUUUUGUAGCCGUCUUUUUACGUAGGAAUGUCAAUUUUGCUCUUGUUUCUUUUGGAUGCGAUGAAGAUAAAUUUUUAAGAGGAAUAUCGUAGAUUGCUUUGGCAAGAUGAAUAUGUAUUUCGGUUCGUAUUCACUGAGCAUCAGUGUUGUCAUCUUCUUUAUAGUUCUAUUUUAUUUUUAAUUAACGAGGGACCUAUGGAGAGAACGCUAUAAAUCAGUGCGUUUUUUACCAAGUUUGCCUUCGGAAAUAGUAUCGAAAGCAAAUCGCCGACUUUCAUACCUCUUUCAUUCAUGAGCCGAAUCGUAGGAUGCCCAGAAUUUCUGUUUCCGGAACAUCUUGAACCCUCGGCUAAAUCUCAAGUCUGUUUCAUAUAUUUAUAUGUACUAGAUCCAAAAACUUGCAUUUGUUUAUUUUUAUUUAUAUAAUUUGUAUCAUGAACAAUUAAAACAAAAUAUA